AGAGUUUGAUCCUGGCUCAGGAUGAACGCUAGCGGCAGGCUUAACACAUGCAAGUCGAGGGGCAGCGCGGGAUAGCAAUAUUCUGGCGGCGACCGGCGGAAGGGUGCGUAACGCGUGAGCGACAUGCCCGUUGCCCGGGGACAACCGGUGGAAACGCCGACUAAUCCCCGAUGGGAUACGAUGCUUCAUGGCAUUGUAUUGAAAGUUACGGCGGCGACGGAUUGGCUCGCGUCCGAUUAGCUUGUUGGCGGGGUAACGGCCCACCAAGGCUACGAUCGGUAGGGGUUCUGAGAGGAAGGCCCCCCACAAUGGGACUGAGACACGGCCCAUACUCCUACGGGAGGCAGCAGUGAGGAAUAUUGGUCAAUGGGCGGAAGCCUGAACCAGCCAUGCCGCGUGCGGGAAGGAGGCCCUAUGGGCUGUGAACCGCUUUUGCCUGGGGGCAAUAAGGGCGUCGCGCACGUCCGAUGAGAGUACCAGGCGAAUAAGCAUCGGCUAACUCCGUGCCAGCAGCCGCGGUAAUACGGGGGAUGCGAGCGUUAUCCGGAUUCAUUGGGUUUAAAGGGUGCGUAGGCUGUGCGUCAAGUCGGGGGUGAAAUUCCGGUGCUCAACACCGGGGCUGCCCUUGAUACUGUCGCGCUGGAGUGCGGAUGCCGCCGGAGGAAUGAGUGGUGUAGCGGUGAAAUGCUUAGAUAUCACUCAGAACACCGAUUGCGAAGGCAUCUGGCGAAUCCGUAACUGACGCUGAGGCACGAAAGCGUGGGGAUAGAACAGGAUUAGAUACCCUGGUAUUCCACGCCGUAAACG
rnacentral:rRNA from 1 species